rnacentral:rRNA from 2 species
UGUCGUCAGCUCGUGUUGUGAAAUGUUGGGUUAAGUCCCGCAACGAGCGCAACCCUUAUCCUUUGUUGCCAGCGGUCCGGCCGGGAACUCAAAGGAGACUGCCAGUGAUAAACUGGAGGAAGGUGGGGAUGACGUCAAGUCAUCAUGGCCCUUACGACCAGGGCUACACACGUGCUACAAUGGCGCAUACAAAGAGAAGCGACCUCGCGAGAGCAAGCGGACCUCAUAAAGUGCGUCGUAGUCCGGAUUGGAGUCUGCAACUCGACUCCAUGAAGUCGGAAUCGCUAGUAAUCGUGGAUCAGAAUGCCACGGUGAAUACGUUCCCGGGCCUUGUACACACCGCCCGUCACACCAUGGGAGUGAGUUGCAAAAGAAGUAGGUAGCUUAACCUU